GGGCCCGUAGCUCAGUGGUCAGAGCGGUCGGCUCAUAACCGAUUGGUCGCAGGUUCGAUCCCUGCCGGGCCCA
rnacentral:tRNA from 2 species